GGAGAGGUGACCGAGAGGCCGAAGGUGCACGAUUGGAAAUCGUGUGAUGUGCAAGCAUCCGAGGGUUCGAAUCCCUCCCUCUCCGCCA
rnacentral:tRNA from 1 species